rnacentral:rRNA from 1 species
UUCCUUGAACCGCAUGGUUCAAGGAUGAAAGACGGUUUCGGCUGUCACUUACAGAUGGACCCGCGGCGCAUUAGCUAGUUGGUGGGGUAAUGGGCUCACCAGGGCGACGAUGCGUAGCCGACCUGAGAGGGUGAUCGGCCACACUGGGACUGAGACACGGCCCAGACUCCUACGGGAGGCAGCAGUAGGGAAUCUUCCGCAAUGGACGAAAGUCUGACGGAGCAACGCCGCGUGAGUGAUGAAGGUUUUCGGAUCGUAAAGCUCUGUUGUUAGGGAAGAACAAGUGCGAGAGUAACUGCUCGCACCUUGACGGUACCUAACCAGAAAGCCACGGCUAACUACGUGCCAGCAGCCGCGGUAAUACGUAGGUGGCAAGCGUUGUCCGGAAUUAUUGGGCGUAAAGGGCUCGCAGGCGGUUUCUUAAGUCUGAUGUGAAAGCCCCCGGCUCAACCGGGGAGGGUCAUUGGAAACUGGGAAACUUGAGUGCAGAAGAGGAGAGUGGAAUUCCACGUGUAGCGGUGAAAUGCGUAGAGAUGUGGAGGAACACCAGUGGCGAAGCGACUCUCUGGUCUGUAACUGACGCU